rnacentral:lncRNA from 1 species
AAUCCUCCAGAUUACAGUCCGGUAGUUUUGCGAGUGCACUACCCAACUCGUUGUUUUACACCGGGCUAACAACGAACCCUACAACCCCCCAAUUUAACCUAGGCUUGGGAUGCCUAUCCCUUGUUCCAAGUCCCUUGACUGGAACAAGCACAAUAAUCAAUGUUUUACAAAAGAUUUGAAAGCUCUUAAGAAGCAAAUAUAACAAUGAGAAAUAAUGAAACCCGGAAGAACCCUUUUAGCCGUUGGAAGCGUGGGAAAUGGUGGUUCUUCCGAUGUGGAUUGCGUUGGCUUGAAUGUGAGCUUUGAAUGCCGAGUGGGAGAGAGUAGUUGAGCACGAAAUCAGAUGGGAAAGCUUGGAUGCACUUGAUUUCUUCUCUUGAAAGCUCUAACUCCCUUGAACCUCUUUCUCUUUCUUCUCUCUUGAAUGAUCUUGUGU